GGUGGUUCUUGGAUGAAACACCCCAGAAUCAGGCUCCCUCCUCUCUGGUUCCGGGUGUGUCACCCGAGAAGCACA
rfam:Myotis brandtii contig243389, whole genome shotgun sequence.